rnacentral:rRNA from 1 species
UUAGAGUUUGAUCCUGGCUCAGGAUGAACGCUAGCUACAGGCUUAACACAUGCAAGUCGAGGGGCAGCGGGUUGAAAGCUUGCUUUCAAUGCCGGCGACCGGCGCACGGGUGCGUAACGCGUAUCAAACCUGCCUCAUACUCGGGGAUAGCCUUGCGAAAGUAAGAUUAAUACCCGAUGUUGUUGCUUUCUCGCAUGGGAGGGUAACCAAAGAUUUAUCGGUAUGAGAUGGUGAUGCGUCCGAUUAGGUAGUAGGCGGGGUAACGGCCCACCUAGCCUUCGAUCGGUAGGGGUUCUGAGAGGAAGGUCCCCCACACUGGAACUGAGACACGGUCCAGACUCCUACGGGAGGCAGCAGUGAGGAAUAUUGGUCAAUGGGCGAGAGCCUGAACCAGCCAAGUAGCGUGCAGGAUGACGGCCCUCCGGGUUGUAAACUGCUUUUAGUUGGGAAUAAAAAAAGGGACUUGUCCCUUCUUGUAUGUACCUUCAGAAAAAGGACCGGCUAAUUCCGUGCCAGCAGCCGCGGUAAUACGGAAGGUCCAGGCGUUAUCCGGAUUUAUUGGGUUUAAAGGGAGCGUAGGCGGAUUGUUAAGUCAGCGGUUAAAGGGUGUGGCUCAACCAUGCAUUGCCGUUGAAACUGGCGAUCUUGAGUGCAGACAGGGAUGCCGGAAUUCGUGGUGUAGCGGUGAAAUGCUUAGAUAUCACGAAGAACUCCGAUCGCGAAGGCAGGUGUCCGGGCUGCAACUGACGCUGAGGCUCGAAAGUGUGGGUAUCAAACAGGAUUAGAUACCCUGGUAGUCCACACAGUA